rnacentral:rRNA from 1 species
GACGAACGCUGGCGGCGUGCUUAAUACAUGCAAGUCGAACGGAAAGGCCCUGCUUUUGUGGGGUGCUCGAGUGGCGAACGGGUGAGUAACACGUGAGUAACCUGCCCUUGACUUUGGGAUAACUUCAGGAAACUGGGGCUAAUACCGGAUAGGAGCUCCUGCUGCAUGGUGGGGGUUGGAAAGUUUCGGCGGGUGGGGAUGGACUCGCGGCUUAUCAGCUUGUUGGUGGGGUAGUGGCUUACCAAGGCUUUGACGGGUAGCCGGCCUGAGAGGGUGACCGGCCACAUUGGGACUGAGAUACGGCCCAGACUCCUACGGGAGGCAGGAGUGGGGAAUAGUGCACAAUGGGCGGAAGCCUGAUGCAGCAACGCCGCGUGCGGGAUGACGGCCUUCGGGUUGUAAACCGCUUUCGCCUGUGACGAAGCGUGAGUGACGGUAAUGGGUAAAGAAGCACCGGCUAACUACGUG